CACGUAGGGUGCGAGCGUUGUCCGGAAUUAUUGGGCGUAAAGAGCUCGUAGGCGGUGUGUCGCGUCGGCCGUGAAAACUGUGGCUUAACUAUGGGCUUGCGGUCGAUACGGGCAUCACUGGAGUUCGGCAGGGGAGACUGGAAUUCCUGGUGUAGCGGUGAAAUGCGCAGAUAUCAGGAGGAACACCGGUGGCGAAGGCGGGUCUCUGGGCCGAUACUGACGCUGAGGAGCGAAAGCGUGGGGAGCGAACAGG
rnacentral:rRNA from 1 species